UACAGAGGUCUCAAGCGUUGUUCGGAUUCAUUGGGCGUAAAGGGUGCGUAGGUGGCUGUGUAAGUCUAACGUGAAAUCUCGGAGCUCAACUUCGAAAUUGCGUCGGAUACUGCAUGGCUAGAGGAUUGUAGAGGAGAGUGGAAUUCAUGGUGUAGCAGUGAAAUGCGUAGAUAUCAUGAGGAAGACCAGUUGCGAAGGCGACUCUCUGGGCAACUCCUGACACUGAGGCACGAAGGCUAGGGGAGCAAACGGG
rnacentral:rRNA from 1 species